UGGGGAAUAUUGCACAAUGGGGGAAACCCUGAUGCAGCAACGCCGCGUGCGGGAUGACGGCCUUCGGGUUGUAAACCGCUUUCAGCCAUGACGAAGCUUUUGUGACGGUAGUGGCAGAAGAAGCACCGGCUAACUACGUGCCAGCAGCCGCGGUGAUACGUAGGGUGCGAGCGUUGUCCGGAAUUAUUGGGCGUAAAGAGCUUGUAGGCGGUUUGUCGCGUCGAAAGUGUAAACUCAGUGCUUAACGCUGAGCCUGCUUUCGAUACGGGCUGACUAGAGGAAGGUAGGGGAGAAUGGAAUUUCCGUUGGAGCGGAGGAAUGCGCAGAUAUCGGGAGGAACACCAGUGGCGAAGGCGGUUCUCUGGACCUUUCCUGACGCUGAGAAGCGAAAGCGUGGGUAGCAAACAGG
rnacentral:rRNA from 1 species